rnacentral:rRNA from 1 species
UACGUAGGGUGCAAGCGUUAAUCGGAAUUACUGGGCGUAAAGCGUGCGCAGGCGGUUUUGUAAGUCUGUCGUGAAAUCCCCGGGCUCAACCUGGGAAUUGCGAUGGAGACUGCAAGGCUAGAAUCUGGCAGAGGGGGUAGAAUUCCACGUGUAGCAGUGAAAUGCGUAGAGAUGUGGAGGAACACCGGAUGGCGAAGGCAGCCCCCUGGGUCAAGAUUGACGCUCAUGCACGAAAGCGUGGGGAGCAAACGAGGAUUAGAAACCCGUGGUA